CUGAGGAACAGUCCAUGCAGCAUAACCACAUGCCCCAGGACAUCUGGGACAGUUUCUGCCUCAGGUGUGGAAUCAACCAUUUCUCAAGGAGCCCGGAAUCCUUAAAGCACCUUCUAGCUCUGAAAUGUAACGACAAGUCUGAUAUUUCCCCCACUAAAGCUAACGUGCAGAAAUAUAAUGGACUUGAGGGGAUGUGGUGAAAAUCUCCCUACCCAGGACCAGCUUAAGGUCAUCGAGCCACUGGACUCCAUAAUGCCAACCAUUCCCUGCAAAUACUCCCAGCCUGCCCAGGAAAUCACUCCUGGCAGAAACAC
ensembl:lncRNA